rnacentral:rRNA from 1 species
UUUUUACAAUGGAGAGUUUGAUCCUGGCUCAGGAUGAACGCUAGCGGCAGGCCUAACACAUGCAAGUCGAGGGGCAGCGGGAUUGAAGCUUGCUUCAAUUGCCGGCGACCGGCGCACGGGUGCGUAACGCGUAUGUAACCUACCUUAUACAGGGGCAUAACACUGAGAAAUUGGUACUAAUUCCCCAUAACACUUUGAGAGGCAUCUUUUGAAGUUAAAAGUUCCGGCGG